rnacentral:SRP_RNA from 2 species
GCCAGGCCUGGUGGCACAUGCCUGUAAUCCUAGCUACUCCAGGGGCUGAGGUGGGAGGAUUACUUGAGCCCAGGAGUUCUGGGCUGCAGUGAGACAUGAUCUCACCACUGCACUCCAGCCUGGGCAACAGAGUGAGACCUUGUCUCUA